UCCGUCGUGGUCUAGUGGCUAGGAUGUAAGUAGAAUCCCUCCCAGCCUCACUAAAUAUCGGAAUUAACAAAUAAUAGUUGCCGCUCUGUGAGUUUAAUCCUCCACUGUAUCAGUAUCAUAUACUAAUAAUAGCUAUCAGCACUGAAAAGAGCAUGUGCCGGCAAGGCCCGGGUUCAAUUCCCGGCGACGGAA